UGUGAAGUUCUGAAAUUUUCUUUUGCCUCAGUAUUGUGCAUUGAUUAAAAAAUGUGCUUUGAUAUAACGUUUAUGCUACUGUUAUUUAUGUAGUUUACUCAAAGCAUAUAAUCUUGCAUGGGUCUAUACAUGCUAAUAGAUGCAGAUAAAUUUUUCAUAGAUGAUUAAUGUGCCAAAUACGAUUUUACAAAAGUUGUAUAUUUCGGUAAAUUUAAUUAAACCCUUUGUAUAAAUUGAUUUAAGAGGUUUUAUGCACUAAACAUACAUCUGAGCGUAAAUGCCAUAUAUUUAGGCAGAAAAUUACAAACAGAAAUCUUACUAGGGUUUACCUUCUUUCUCCUAUCACCAUGUGAGUUCAAGGUGUGUACACUUAAAUCUUUUAAACUGUUUAUUCUCAUAUUUUUUUUUUAUUAAAAUAGUAUUAUGAUGUUAUUAACAAUAAAUUUUAGACAUAUUAUACAGUGGAAUCAAUGUGCUUUAUUGAGUCUUUUCAACUAUGUUUACUCAUUUGACAAGCCCUAUGAGCUGGCUUUUGGGGGUGGGGUAAUGUUCUUUCUAAACUUUUUUUGCUGAUGUUGAGGUGAUAAACGCGUGGGCUAGGUAACACCGUGACCUUUUUGUCCUUUUUUAGAUUUUCUAUAUAAUUAAUCAAUGUGAUUAGAGGCAAAAACUGGUAGAGUAAGUAAUGGAUCAGAAUGCGAAAAACAAGAAUGGGCAUGCUACUAUCCCUCCAUGUUGCUUGAAAGCCCAGGUUUUGCUGAAUUGGAAGCCAAUUGUCGUGGUACAGUUGUUUCAAGAUGGUUCAUUGAGCAUCGGGAUUCAUCUGGAAAUAGAUAUUACAAGUUUUCAAGACAAAGCUAGAUCUGUGGAUGACAAUUUUUUUUGUUAAUGGAUGCCGCUUGGAGCCGAACUGAUGAGGAAUGAAAAUAUAGUAAGGCCUUUACCCUGGAACGGGAAGCAGAUCUCUUAGAAUCGAAGCGGAAGAAUGAAGAACUGAAAUAGUCCAAAGUUUUCAGUUCUCUAUUUCCUAUAGGAAAGUGAUGCUUAAAAAGAACAAUCACUGUAGGUGCAUGUGACAACCCGUAAUUCUCGAGUUUUUCAUGUGAAGUGUAGCCGGAAGGAUACCAACAAAAGUGGAGCUGGAUAAGAGAGGAGUGCAAUGGGAAGUGUGUUGUGCCCUUGCUUCGGAUACCUACCAGAAUCAGUGGACCAUGUAUUGGUUUCAUGCAAACUCGCCAAAUCGAUUUGGUGGGGAACUGGAGUGUGGCUUGGGUUGAACAAUCUUUCAGCAUGUUCAACUGUCUAAGAAGCGAUCAAAUCUGUGAUGGAUGAACGUUAUCUAAGAGGCAAAGGAAGGCCACACUGUGUGUUGUCUUGGCUGUACUGUGGAAGAUAUGGUGGCAUAGGAACCGGUGUGAAGUUGCUUAUACUAGAUUAAGAUGAGAAUGAAACAAAUAAACAUUUCAAAGUAAAUAAUAUGGUUUUGGAUGAA